AUCAAUUCUUCUUUUAACAAAAUACUUAUUGAUAAAAAAUAAAAAUAAAAUAGUUUAUCCAAGUUUGUCAUUUUUGUACAAAAAUGAGCCAUAGGGAGAAUUUUGACAUUAAUUUUAAAAAUAAAAGAGGUCAAUGUUAUUUCUGAAACUAUUGAGGAGAAGGCUGUAUUUUUCAAAAGCCUCCUGAGAAGUCAGUGAAAUUUACCCAAACAAUAAUUAUAAAUUGAAGAAAAAUAUCACAAAACUCCAAUUGUUAAAAAUUAUGAAACGUUCAAUAUAGAACCGAUUAUAUAUACCAAGCCUGAGAUACUUAGAUAAGCGUUAUGGGACAAGUCUAACAUUCAUAAAACUAGAAGCAUCUACUAGCAAAAAAGAAACGAAAACAAAAUUCAGCUCUUCCAGACCAAAGUUCUUAAUGUCGUCAACCCAUAAUAUACCGGGAAUUUAAACUUAUCGAUACAUACAUGGGAGUGUUUACAGUACAUAUCUAAAAAAUGGUGCAUAUAGUGCGCCCUAAUAUAGCAUUAUGACAAUCAAUCAUAACAUUCACCAUAACCGAUCGCAAUAAAAAAAAUAUAACUUUUCUUUAUCACAAAAAACGUAAUAUUUACCAUAAUGAUGUAUAACACAUUAUUUUUUCAUUAUUUUUAAUAUACAUAUCUUCUAACAUUCACCACACACAGAUCAUAACAUAUUCCACGAUCGAUCAUAGCAUUUACCAUAAUUGAUCAUAAUAUUUAUACUAUAAAUUUUGUAUACAUAUAUUUACAAAUAUAUUGUCCACUACUAUACUUGCCAAUUUACCUAUAUAGGCACAAAUCCUGAUACCACUAUUUGAAACACUCUUCCAAAACCCCCAAACAACCUCUAUAGCUUAAUAGUGAAGAUAGAAGGCCAAUACAUGAUCCCAGCAAGUAUAGAUGAUAAAACUAUACACGUAUGACAUUCAUCAGGAUAUAUAAUUCCAAAAAAGAAAAGAAAGAAAGAAAAAAAUGUAAAGGACGUGAUUGACAAAUCAGCCUAACUCUGAUAAAAAAGAAAGAAAGACCAGGAACAUAAAUCGUAAAUUUCAUAAUCUUAUAUCAAAAUAAUGGGGAAUAAUUUAGGAUCUCUCACCUGAUAUGGUCACAGGAAGACGAUGAUGGAGAAUCAUGGAGAGAGAUUUGGGGAACGGGUGAUGAGAGAGAAGCACAUUAGAUUUUUUUGAAAAUUGACUUUUAGCUGAGUUUGACUCAAUGUGUGGUUAUGUGGUUUUGUGAACUUGACUUAAGCAUUGACAAAUUUUAAUUGAGAAGUUAUAUUCCCAGCAUCCCUUUUCCUCUCAUUUGCUAGGUCUUCCCUUCAAUUUCUCUUUUUCCAUUUACCAUCUACAUACACAUGCAGGUCCAACUUCUUUUCUCUCUCUUGCAUAACUCGGUGUCUGGUUCAAUAGACCGACUAAUUCAAAUGACUAAUCCCACCGUAUGUCUACAAGCGAGAUCCCUUUUAACUAAAACUGAGAAAAAAUCUCAUAUGAACUGACCCAAUACAAUAAUUGAUAACAUGCAGGUAAGAGUCAAAUCUCGAUUAAAAAUUUCACGAGGAACAUAAUGAUCAAGUAACUAUCAUUGCGCCAAUACCUGGGUUUAACAUUUAUUCUCUCGGCAUAGCAACCCACUCGAUGGGUGGAGUCAAGAUUCCGAUGUGUGGAGGGCACAUUUCUAAAAUGAUAUAUAUAUAUAUAAUAUAUAUAUAUAUAUAUAUAUAUAUUUGAUAAUUAAAAGAAGUAAUUAAAUUGAAGUGCAAAUGAAAAGUAAUAUGUAGAACACAUCUACGACUUUUGAAAUUCGGAACAUGUUUCAUGACAAUUUUAUUUAUUAUGUUAUUAAAAGAAUUAGAGGUCUGUACUUUGCCAAAAUCAUGUUAUACACCCAAAGAGAGUAAGAUAAGAAAAAUAAACUCCUUGUUGUUUUUAGGUUAUAUGUGUGUAUAUAUAUAUAACGCGUAACUUGAGUUUAUUCAAGUUAUUGUACCUCUCAUUUUAAAAAAAAAAAAUUAUUGAUAAAAAAUAAAAAUAAAAUAAUUUAUCCACGUUUAUCAUUUUUGCAUAAAAAUAACUUUUAGAGAGAAUCUUGACACUGAUUUUAUAAGUUAAAGAAGGCAAUAUUAUUUCUAAAAUUACAGAGGAGUUGACUGCAUUUGUGAGUUCAGUGAAUGUUAUCCAAAAAAUAGUUAUAAAUGAAGAAAAAUAUCACUAAACUCCCAUAAUUAAAAAUUAUGAAGCGUUCAACUUAAAAUCAAUUAUAUAUACCAGAGAAACAUAGAUAAGCAGUAUGAGACAAGUGUAACAUUCAUAAAACUGGAAGCUAUACCAACAAAAAAGCGACAAAAAUCAAAUUCAACUUCUUCCGGACCAAAGUUCUUAAUGUCGGUCACCCAUAACAUAACGGAAAUUUAAACCUAUCGAUUCUCUGAUAUAAUAUUAUCACAAUCAAUCGUAAUAUUCAUAACAACCGAUUGUAAUAAAAAAAAUAUACAAUCUUUCUUUAUCGCAAAAGAUUUUAACAUUUACUACAAUAAUGUGUAAUACAUUAUUUUUUAUUAUUAUUAACAUACAUAUCCCGUAACAUUCACAACACAGAUCAUAAUGUAAAUCAUGAUUGAUCAUAAUAUUAUCACAAUCAAUCACAACACAAUCGUAAAUUUCAUAAUCUUAUAUCACAAUAACGGGGAAUAAUUUAGGAGCCCCCACAUGAUACGGUCACAGGAAGACGAGGUUGUAGAAUCAUGGAGAGAGAUUUGGGGAACGGUUGAUGAGAGAGAAGCACAUUAGAUUUUUGUCAACAUGCCCUUUGGCGGAGGUUGACUCAUGUAUUCAAUAAUACUAGGCUAGCUGCACAGAUCUAAAACAAAGAAGCAACCACAGAUGAUUGCAUGGCUGCUCGACUUACUGACUUGUGGCCCCUAUCUAACACAUGUAUUUCCCUUUAAAAAAAAGUAAAAAAGAAAUACAAAAAGUUUCAAUAAUCGUUUAGUUCAUUUUUAUAACUUAAUAAAUUAAUGUAUUACAUACAAAAAGUUUAUUCUAUCUGUAUGCAAUUAAAGAAUCCGUAAGUUCUUGAUUUGGAUCUGAUUCAAAAUUGGGUAUUUGAUUUGCUGUUGAAUCAGAGUAUUUCUGGUUUGAGUGUACUAUUGAUUUGAGAUGGGUUGUGGCUUUUGUAGUUUUCAUUGUGAUUCCUAGUUCAUGUAUUGACAGUAUUGUAGAGGUGGUUUGCGAAUUUUUAGUUGUCAUUUAGAUUUGUUUCCAAAUCGGUAAUAAGGCAUCCUGGGUUUAGUUAAUUUAUGGGUUUGUUACUUUCUUCCAUUUUGAUUGGAUCCAAUUCUGAUCAAGGAUUUGUGAAAUUGAAGGGGGAUUGUCAUUUGGUUGAGUUUGCAUUGUAACGUUUGCCCAUUCCCAUAUAAGGAGAAGCCGUAUGGGAGACUCCGUACGAGGGAUCAGUAAAAAAUUAUUUAGUGGAAACGGAUGGUGUAUGAAACUGAGACAGUGAAAACAUUUUCUGUUCUCAAAAAAUUGUUAGAAAUUACAGUGAGAAUGAAAGUUCAAAGUGGGCUGAAAUUUUCAGCUGAAUAUGGAGUUGUUAAGCAGCGCAAAGGAAUAAUCAGCCUAUAAUGGCUGUAUUUUUAGUGAAUUAAAUCCACUAAUGAGGGGGUUAUGGUGAGUUUUAUAGUCAUGUUUAUGACUGUUUAAGUUUUAUACUUUUUAACUAUAAAAAGAGGAGUUAAGUUGUUUAGAUGAAAAACAUAACAAGAAAGCAUAAAACAUUUUGAGUUUUAUUUAAGUGAAAAAGAGAUAAUCGCAGUAAACUUAUGAGGUGUUCCAAAGUUAGUGGUUCUAACCAUUUUAUCUUGAGAGGAAGAUGUCGACAAUACCCCUCGAUAGGCGGCGAAUCUUUCUUAAGAAAAAGACUACAUUUGCUGGACUCAGCAAAAUCUUUCUGUUUGUAUCUCUUAUUUUAGUUUCUAUUCAUUUCAGUUUUUGUAAUUUCAAUUUUUGUAAAUUAUUUUUAUUUACUAUAAAUUCAGUGUACUGUAAUUUAUUUUGAUUAAUGGAAGUUGUUUUUUGAAAUUCUGUAUUUGUCAAAUAUUUUUUUCAACAAUCUUAAGAAAUAUUUUUUUUAAUUAUCAGCAAAUGAAUUCCAGAAAAUAAUUUGUACAGAAACUAGUAUGAGAUGAAUAAAAGAAAAUUUAUGUUUUCAUGUUGCCCACAUCAGAACGAACAGACUACUAUUUAUCAUGAUAUCAAACAUGAGAAAUAGUACCAGAAAUAUACAGACUGUUAUUAUGAAAAUAUUCUGAAAUAUUUCUAAUAUUUUCGUUAAGAUGUUUUAGACUACUAUUGGUUUUGUUUAUUGCAGAAUUUUAUUUUAUUUUUUCCAAAUAUACAUUUAUUUUUAGAAAAUGUUUCUGCUUUAUUCAGAAACUAUUUUAGUAUUUUAAAGAAAGAAAAUAUUUUCUAUUUUUUUUCCAGAAGCUGUCCAGUUUCUGUAUAUAAAACUGUCCAUUUUUUUUAGAAACUGUUUUUGGAAAGAAACAAAAGUUUGCUGAUUUUUUUUGUUAAAAACAGAACAGUUCUAUUUCUGAAAAAAGAAAAAAAAAUUAUUUUCUGAUUAUUUUUCUGUUAAAAAACAAAACAGUUCUAUUUCUGGGAAAAGAAAGAAAAAAAAAUUCUGAUUAUUUUUCUGUUAAAAAACAAAACAGUUCUAUUUCUGGGAAAAGAAAGAAAAAAAAUUAUGUUUUCUGAAUUUUUUUUCCUGGUAAAAUCAGAACGGUUUUAAUUUUUUCAGAAAUUGUCCAGAUUCAAUAACAGUCCUGCAACUGUUUAUGAAAAAAAUCUUAUAGAAUUCAACCCAUAGGCAUUAACACUGAGUACUGUGCGAACACAAAUAAUCAGUUUUAAGUCACCGUGAGUAUAGUUUGUGGCAACAUGUGGUAAUUACUGUAUUAGCCCAUAACUAUCUAUA
rnacentral:lncRNA from 1 species